rnacentral:lncRNA from 1 species
GACUACACUUCCCAGCCAGCAAGUUGACUAAGAAAAGAGGAAGGACAGAUGAAAGUUAAGGCAUUGAUCCCUCACCAUUGCUGCAUUCUAUAAUAUUUGGUGACAUGGCACCAAACUAGAGGGCUUGGAUUUUGACAGAAGUAAACAAUAGUCAGCAAGUUUUGUAUAAAGGCAAUCACAAGGGAUUCGGCAUGUUUUAGCAUAAUGUGAUCGUUAAACUUUUGUUGUAUAGAGUCAAUUAACUUAAUGGAAAAGAGGCCGGUCAGCGAAAUUAGGUCAUGUUUCUUUAAAUUACUACCUCGUUUCUUUAUAAUUGUCGUUUAUUCCUUUUUGGAAAAUUGUCUCAAAUUUUGUUGGAUAUGGGAUGGCAUUUUAAAAGGGUGGUAAGACCAAUAGAUCUCCAGAAACGCUACAUGAUUUGGAAGCUUUUUAUGGAUAGUUUUGCUGGGAGUAUUAGAUUGAAUUUUCAGCAGCAAUGAGGAAUACAGAUGAAAAGAUGAGCUUAGUUUGGUCGGGUCUGAUUAGCAAACCCCAGCGCUAAAAGAGUCCGGGCAGACCAAGGUGUCCACACCACUCAAAUGUAAUGUAUAUAUUCAUGCAUGUUGUCCCCUCCUUACAUUUAAACACUCUCUCAACUAAAACUUUUGCGGCGAGCGUCCAUUUAAACACUCGUUAGACAGACCCAAACAAAAAACACCAAAAGGCCUUCCUCUUUUUCGAGCCUGAUUUGGACAGGUACUGACAUGGCCCAAAUCAACUACAAGCAAGAAUCCCGUUGGCAUGCCGCUCUGUUUUUCAGUUUCCCAAAAUUCCAAGUUGAGCGGACAAUGAUCGUGAAUUGCAGAGUAAGUAGUCUUAUCCGAUUAACCUCUCUCGAUGAAUUGCAAAGUAAUACACCAAGGAAACAUUCAUUACUAUGUCUAAAACACCCUCCAUCCAUUUAAACAGCAGAUAUUUAAUACAGAACGUCUAAACCCUCGAGAAACCUGACAUUCAAUUCGCUCAAGAGUCGAGAGUGGUAAUAGCAAAAAGAUCAAGAGCAUACAUGUUUGUGACAUGGCUUACAGCGUUGGCACUAAAAGAGCAAUUUGCAGGUCACAUUGCUAUAAAUGCCAUCGCCAAAGGUCUGGCUGAGACCUCUACCCUCACUACAAGAGCACCGGCUAACAUCCCAGUGUGUGAUCUGCAGCUUUGAUGAUGUCGUUUGAAGAACUUGCACUGCAACAUGAAUUUAAAUCAUGAUUUCAACUCUCUUUUUUGGGAGCAUCCUGAAGUCAAUUUCAUGAUAGCAAGUUUUUUCGGAAAAGCUUUGCUUCGAUUGAACACCGUAAAAUAACAAACAGUUAACCUGGUUAACCUUUUUUUUUCUAUUCGAUAAAUAAUUGUUCAUUUCAGGCAAAAUUCCUAGUUAACUUGUCCUUUUCAUUUCAAAAUUGUGACAAUUCUCUAUUAUCUUUGUAUGAACCUACAGUUGUCAAAUAAAAACGGCUCCCAAAAAUUUUGACCACUUCGAUGAAUUGCAAAGUAGUAAUAACACCAAGGAAGCAAGCACUUGCGAGUAAGGACGGACAAAAAAAAAAAAAAAAGUGUAGAGUCAUCUAACACGUACCUGAAACGGGUGAGCAGUCGACUUCCAAGACCUAAAAUCAUCACAGCACCACUCAACACCCUUCAUCUGUCCCCUCUACACUCUUUCUUUAACUCAUCUGUACCAUCGAUAUUGACACAAAUCGUUGUUUAGCAUGACCGAUUUACCGACGAACUUUAAGCUCCAAAACAUGCCAAUUUUCAGACCCCCUCCGAUGUUGCAAUCCCUACACUGGUAAAUAGCUGAUGAGCUUCCAGCCCCUCCCAUGUACCCCAAAAAACAGGAAGAAAAAUAGAAGGCUACGGCUUCGUACGGUGUUAGAACUUCGAAGAUCAGAACAAGAACGUGGUAGCAUUUAAGGAUUUUCAGUUGUACUGGAAGUGAGAACGUUUUCCUUUUUUUUUUUUUUGCCUUAUCAAACAAAGUGACGGUUGGUGUUGGGACGAAAGGUUUCUCGGUCGUUAGGAAAGUUGGUUGAAGUGCAUAAUACGUUGUAGACCAAUUGCAAAGACCAAAGAAGCCAAAGUAUGGCUGCAAACAAGUACUGUAAUAGUCAGCCAUACUUUUUUUACUUUUUCUGUCUUCUACAGUUCUACCUACGAUUGUGCACGAAAGUCGUGGGUCCAUCAGUUAAAACUGUUACCACUUACCAGUUUCCAUAACUCUUCUUUGUUACUUUGUUAGGAAAUUUUUCGGGCUCCAUUUCGAUUAGCUAUUUUUUUGAGUAUUUUUGAAAAUUUAAUUGUAGCAGAAUUUUUAGAAUAUAUUUUGGAAUAUUUAAAAGUAAAAGAGUUUCUAAAAUAUAUUUUGAAAUAUUUUUUUAAAAUUUAAACUAAUUUUUAGACUAUCUUUUAAAAUACUUUUAAAAAAUUUUAUUGUAUUUGAAAAAAAUAAUUUUUAAAAAACACUCCCAUCCAAAUCUGGGUAUUUGAAAAACUAACGAUUUUUUGGUCUUCAAUGCUAUUGCGGACCAAAUCUGGGUCAAUUUCGAACUGGACCAAUAUUUGUUUGAGCCAAUCAAGUGUUGGCUGUAGUUCUGGUGAAAGCCAAAAUGGUCUGCCACGUCAUGCUUUUCAAAUUUUUAUUGCUUUUCACUUUUUAUGAAUUUAAACUUCGGCAUUUGCAAUAAAAUUCAAAAAGAGCGUAACAGCGCAUCCCUUUGAUUUAGGGUUAGGAUCCUCUGGCUCUCUAUUUAAUUUUUAUUGACUUUUGGACUCUCUCCUAAUGUAGGUGCUAGAACAAAAGUAAGAGUGGGAGUUAACGAUUAACAAAAAAAAAAAAGAAUAUACUCAUUAAAUCAUCAAUUACAUGAUAUUUUAUUCCUAAGCUUUACAACAUAAACCUGUAAUGCGUUUGAGUUCUCCAUUAUUUACAAUUUCUCUCUUUUGUUUUGGGGCUAUUCUGGUUCUUUUCAAUUUUCUACACAAACAGCUACACUUAUACUGUCAUCCUUUACCAAAAAAGAGAGAGAGAGAGAGAGAGAUUCGAAUGAGCUAUAUAGAGGAAUGAAAAAAAUGUCGAUCGGGAUUAAAAAGUACUCAUUUGUAUAUCAUUUAUAUUUUUUAACUGUAAAAUGCAAGAUUUGAAUUUAAAUUUACUGCGCCGCAAACCGUCGCGUCGCGUCGCAUGAUUGUCAGAAGAGUCCACGUCACGGGACUGGUUGGGGGCCUAAUCAUUCGCAGGUUAUUGCUUUGAUGUCGCAAAGAUGAAUGACCGCAACUAAAACCAAGAAAAGCGAGAGAGGACUUGCCAUUUAGACAAUUACUCCCUCCGUCCCAUUUUGAUAGUCCUGUAUUUUUUUUUUCUGUUUUAAAUUAUAGUCCGCUUUCUAAUUGAAGAAAGUAGUUGUAUUUUAAUUUUUCUAAAAUACCCUUAUUCAAUGUAAGUAGUUGUUACUAUAAAUCUAUCCCAUUUAAUGAGAGUUGAUUCUUUUUUUUACCAUCAAUUCAAAUUCUCAUAAAGUUGUACCAUAUUUAAUGUGAGAGUAUUUUAGGAAAAUAGCAAUCAAAAUUUAUUUUUCCAACAAAAUUAACUAUUUUUUUCUUAAAUUGUGUGAAAAAAAAAAACAGGACUAUCAAAGUAGGAAUGAUGGAGUAUUUGAUGUCAGAAGGCAGAAGGAUGGUAAUAUAUACGUAAUUCAUAAAAGGAAGUUCUACGAAGUACGUGCACUUGCAUCAUUGCUGAGAACCUGGCUGUAUUUUGAUGGAUUCGGGACCUCACCAUUUAAUUCAGACCAUUUCAAUAUAAAAUGGUUAUUUUAAAAUUUUUUAUAUCCUAUUUCAAUUAAUUUACAAUCUACCUAAAUUUAUUUAGGUCGCAUUCCAACUUGUUUGCAUCUUAAAAGUAAAUUGGUGUAAAAUAGAACCUGUGAAGCACCAUCUCGAACUUUGAUUGGAUUUUUUAAGAAUUGUAAAUUGUAAUGAUAUUGGAUAAACGUGUUUGUAAAUAAACUUGUUACAAAAAAAAAAAAAAUUCAUGCUUGAAAUUUUGAGAGAUUUUACGGUUCUUUUUUGGUAUCAUUCCUACGAGUGAAAUUCGCCGUUAAUAGUAAAAGAAGUGUUAUUGACUUUUAAAUUAAAUAUAGUUAAAUAUUUAAAUUUUAAAUUAUUAUCUUUAGUGAGAGAUAUGGUGUAUUUUAUAGUUUAUAUCCUAAUAUUUUAUUUCUCACACUUUAUUUCCUUAACUGGUAGUUAAAAUAAACAUUUAGUAAUGGUGCAAACUGUUGACAUCAAAAGGACAAUACUAUUCUAAAAAAAUAAUGAAUAUAUAUAAAUGUUCACAAGUUCAAGUCCGAUAUAGUAUAUAUUUUUUUUCUUUUGCGCAACGUUUCAAAUUUAUCCACUUGAAGUAAUCGCAUGAAUGAUGAUUCUUAAAAAAAAAUUAUAUUUCAAAUUAUUUUACUAAAAAGUACCAAUCGAAAAAUAAUUAAUCCAUUGUAAAAAUCAAAAGUUUUAAUUUAAAUAUCCAAGAAAUCUCCUUCCGAAAAUUUUCAAUGUCAAGACCUUCUUAAGGAUGCCAUUUUAUUACAUUCACAGGUUUCUUUGGAUUGGUUAUUCAAUAUGAUGUGAUGAAUAACAUCUAAACGAAAACCAAGAAAAUGAACUUGAAAAAACGUGAAACCUUUUUUUUUUGUUUCUUGUUGUAGUUGCAAAAUGUUUCGGAUGAAGAAGAGAAAUUCUUUUAAUGUGACGAAUGAUCAAAGCACACAAGAAAACCAUUGGGAAUCUCUUCUUUAUAGAACAUGAAAAGUGGCAUUUUCGUUAGAAAUUUAGUGAUUAAAAUGGGAGGUGUUUUCGUCAAUUGCAAUGUUUGAACAAUCCAUUUGCUAAGUAGGAGUGAUGGAGGGGAUAAAGUGAGAAAAAUAAAAUAUUAGGAGGUAAAAUGUAAAACAUACCAAACCUUAGGGCCACUUCCUGUGAUUAUCCCCGUCCUUAUCCGCAGUCAAAUGAAUUCACCGUAAGAAAACAAAAGACUUCAAUAAAUUUUGCCUUGAAUGAGAAUGACAAUAGAUUGUUUGUAACUGACACAUAUGUGGAAGACACGUGGCAGGAAAAGGGAUCAUAGGCCGCAUCAUAGCACAUAGAAAUCGCGGGGCCAUGCGUUGCUUCAUUAUCGUCCAUCCAUCCAUCCAUAACUGACGACCCCAAAAGCUAGAUACAGAUACCUGCCAAAAGCUAUAAAAUAGUAAACUUUUGGAGUGGUGAAAAAACUGAAAAGAUUCGCGGUUUCACUCACCCUUGGAUUGAGAGUCAAAGAAAAGAUAAAGGGUGGGUGCUUCUCGAGUCACGAGGAACCAGGUGGGGACAGGUGACCGACACUAUUAACUUACACUGUCAGCUAAUCGUUUCCUUUUUUUUUUUUUCCCUUUAUAUAGGAUCAGCUACUUACGUUACGUUAAACGAGUGAUAGUAGUGGUGUGUUUUAACGGAUUAAGCAGGAUACAGGAUACACUAGCGUAAAUACCCGUACUACACACGACGUACUGACAUUAUUGAAAAAAUAAAAAUAAAAGAGUAAAUUAAAAAAUAUUAAAAAAUUAUAGCAACACAAAUAAAAUAUAAUAUCUGUCUAACAAUAGUUUGAAAUAUGAUAGAAUGUAUAUAUUAUUCAAAAAUUAUCUUUUUUCGGAAGAUAGAUUCUGAAAAAAUAAUAAAAAUUUAUAUUAGAAAAUGAAUGAUAUAUGAAUAAAAAUGAAUAUAAUUAAAUGUUGUUAAAAUAAAAUACUUACAAAUAUUAUGCAUUCGAUUUGAUAAUCUUGCAUGAAGGUGCGAACACUCUUCACAUCAAUCAACUUUUAAUAUGAAAGCCAAAAUUAGUGAUUUAAUUAAUUCUGUUGAAUUUUGUGGAAUGUGUACUACAAAUGAAAAUGCACGAUCUUUGCAUCAAUUGAUUCGUUGGUUGAACAACCUACCACCAUUUUCCUGAGAAUUAAGUACGUGCGAAAUUCAAAAUUAGUGUAUUUUUUUUUACAUAGUUUAUAAAUAGCAUUAUAAAAAAUAAACAUAUAUCAAGAAAUUCUACAUUCCUUUGUAAUUAUCUGAGAUAAGAAGCAUUACAACCAAAUAUGAAUCGUGCAUGUCUGUCCUGUAGAUUAAGAUGCAUGUUACCACUGGAAUCUUUGAUUUGUAUGUUAACAUUGUAUCUGUUUGACAAAUAAAAUGUUAUAUAUAACACAAAAAAAAUUGUUGAAAUUAAAGGUAUAUGAAAUUAAUUACCUAACAACAGUGUCGACCACGUCAUUACAAUGUAUACACACUGUUUUUUAAAAACGACCUUCACAUAGUUAUCCACAAUUUUUGCAUAGCUCAUAAAACAUGUUUUCUAUAUUAAUGCUCUGAAUGUAAGUAAGUAUUCAAAAAUAUUUAACCUAGUAAGAAUGAAAGAAGGUAUAGAUUAUGAUUAUAAAUUUAAAAAAAUUUGUGUCAUAAUUAAAUUAAAUAGAGUAAGUUUACCGUACGUAUGAUUGUAUGUUCAGAUAUCUAUAUUCUCUUUGAAUUUUCUAUCAAUAAUGCUUGUGAUGAUGUAAAAUUGCUUGACCUCAAUCACCGUAACUAACUUUCGAGCAUAUGUAUCAUUUUCAAACCUACAAUUUUUGAAAUACAUGUUGAUAAGAGUAUGAAACAACAUUAAAAGUUUGAUGUAGUGUUACUGAUGGAACUCACCAACUGCACAGGUAUCGAGCAAAAUCUAAAUUGUAAUUGAUAUAUAAUUUGCUAGUUCCAAUUGUAUAAAGUGAUGGUUCUGCAUAGUAUGGUUAUAUUCGCUAAAAAACUAUUCAAAUUAUAUAGAGUAUAAGUAAAAACAUUUGAUUUACCUCUGAAAUUUCGUACGUAAAUACUACAUGCUAAUAAAAUAUUAUUUUUUUUGUAGCAGACUGAUAUUAUAGGAUUUAGAGUAUAUUCAAUAACUUGAUACUCAAAUCACCGAUGAGACAAAGUUUGUCUAAAUAAUCUUUACAGUGUCCUAACUCCUUGCAGAAAAAGAAAAAACACUAAAUAGUCCUAAUUGGCAUCGCAAGUUUCGGCAACGUGCCAAUGCCAUCUAACCCUAAUUUUUUUUUGAGUCAAAAUCUAAUCCUAAUUGGUUCUGCUGUUUCUUGAUCAUGUUGUAUGCUUGCGAAUUAAAAUUGUAUUAAAAUAGCAUGUGAAUGAACAUUUUCCUUUAAUUAAAGGGGAAAAAGGAUUUAAAGUAUAAAUAACAAACUAUAAACGGUUUAUGAAGUAAAUUAUGAGAAAGUUUUAAAUUUUAAAUUUAACUGGUGAUAGGGUUGGUUACAAUCCAUUACUUUUUAUGUAUUAAAAUAAAUACAAAAAUCUAUAACCCACUACUUGUUACGGUAUUGGGAUUUUUUUUAGAAUUAAAUAUAGUAAACCCCUUAACUUUACAUUUAUCUGCACUUUACCCCUCAACUUUACAUUUAGUUGCACAUUGUGAUUUUUUUUGAAUCGUGAUUGUAAUUUGCAAAGCCAUUUGUAGGGGUGGUUAUAGGGUUAGUAUGGUGACAAAUAUUUCUUAAUUAUAAAAAUGUAACAUUGUAUUAAAAUAGCUUACGAAUGAGCAUUUGUCUUUAAUUAAACAAUAAAAAGUAUUUAAAGUAUAAAUAACAAACUGUAAACCAUUUAUGAAGUAGAUAAUGGGAAUGUUUUAAAUUUUAAAUUUGAUUAGUAAUAUGAUUAGUUAUAACUCACUACUUUUUAUGUAUUAAAAUAAAUACAACAUUUAGAAAAAAAAUGAAAAGUUUGAAAAUCAUUGAGAGAAUCUCAACUAAAAACCCAUUCUGUAAUACAUAUAGAUAUAGAUAUUAGACAAAUAUUGAAAUUUUUUAUUAGUGAGAGAAUUUAAACUCAAGAUAUAUUACUUAUAAUCUCUCAUCUCUUACCAAUCAAUUCAGUCCUCUCAUAAUAUUAGAAUUUUAAUGAAUGUUAAGUCAGAGGUACAUGUAUAAUUGUUUAAUUAACCUUUUUUUUUAUUGUAAAUGUCAAGAUUUUUUGCUUAUUAAGUAAACGUGGGCUUUCCAAUAAUAAUUGUCUCCAACAAUGUUGGAGUAGGUCCAAAAGAGUAUAAUGUUUGACUUACUAUUUUAUAUUUACCGUUAAUAACUUUAAUAUUAAAUUAUAAAGCUCGUACCUAUAUAAUCACAUAAAUAUUACACGUGUAAGUGUAAAGUGUCCCGCAAUUAUUGGUAUACAAACAAUUUGAUACUUUUUGUUCAUUGGCUUUUGGAUAAGGUUGGUGGCAGCCGCGACAGUGGAAUGACAGUUGUUACACCAAUAAGAAAUUAAAAAAAAAAUCAAGGUCAACACUCAAUAUUUUUGUUGUUUAUCGACAAAUUAUUAAAUAUGAGGGUUGAAGACAUUAAAUUCAUAUCCCUCCAUGUAACGAUAAUGUUUUUAAAUCAUUAUAAAAAAAGAUAUUUUUUUAAAAAAAAUGUAUAAAUUUUAGAAUCAUAUUCCAGUGUAGCCGAUUGUCCGAAAAGACCAGCUAAGUAUCAUUGCCUAUCUUUUUGAUAUCCUUUCUUUUUAUUCAUCGCAUUUCUGGAUUUGAUUAGUGCUAGACAUGCCUGAUAUUUUUGCUUUACUGAGCCAGGUUAACCAAAUAACCCUGGUUCUUGUAAUAAUUCUAAACAACCACUUUUCUGUUCAUCUCAUUUUCUGAGUUGUCUAAUAUUUAUAUGCAUUUCUCUCUAGAACAAUGUCACGGCUUUGUUCUCAAAACUAAUGCAAUAUCAUGAUGGUUUUGUUCUCAAAACUAAUGCUUUUUUUUUUUUUCUUAAUAUGCAUCUUUAAAAUAUUAAUUUUCAAGUAAUAGCAAUAUAUGAUACAAAAGCAACUUAAAAGCAAAGCACAUCUGAUCUUCUUCCGUUAGAGGCUUCAAAGGAAAAAGAGAAAAUUUGAACUCAUCCAAGAAAUAAAGUUGACAAAUUGAUAAUAGUCUCAUAAUUAUCUAGUAUUAUAGUACCAUGAGCUACAGCAUAUUUAUGGGCACGGAACUAAUAAAAUAUUCAAGGAAAGGAAACAACGAAAAAAACCCUGAAAUUGACAAUAACUCGCGCCCAACCCAGCGUUCGGCUCUGGGGCCUUGAAUCAACCGUCGCGGUUUGAGCAACAACAUGGAAAUUACUAGAAAACAAAGAAAUAAAUAAAAUACUGAAAUAAUAAUAGAGAGCUACACUAAUUUUAGUCAUACUUAAAGAAUUUAAAAGGUUUCAUGAACAACAUUGUUAAGCAUAUAUUGUUAGAUUCAAGAUCCAGGAUUUCAUGUUCCGCAUAAGUAUGAAAAUCGAUAAUCUUUAGUGGUGCCUUUCUAGAGUCUCAAGAAUGAAAAUUAGAUGCUCUAAUAACAAUAAAGAUCACAACACCAAAAAUAAUACUACUACUAAUUACUAAUAAUGGCUCUGUUCAAAACUUCCAGCAUUAAGGAAGUUUUACUGUUGGCAAGAAGCAAAAAUUUAGGCUCUGUUUGGAUUAGUUGUUUUUGAAAAUAUUUAUUAAAAAUUUUGCUACAACUGUGUAUAUGAAAAACUUUUAGUGUAAAUGUUUUUUGAAUUGUUCUUAGAAAUAUUUUUAAAAUAUAUUUUUGAGUAUAUUUAUAAUUUAUAAUUUUUUUGGAAUUUUUUUAUAAUUUUACACGACCCACCCUACCCUUCCUUUUCCUUCCUUUCUCUUCUUUUUGUUCCUCUCCUCUUUCCCUCUAUUUCCUCCCCUCCUCCUCCUCCCUUCUCUCUUUUUCCUCUCCCUUCUCCUCCUAACCCCUUUCUUGCUUGCAGGUAGUGACUGUGACUUUAGUCACCACUUUAACCACGACUAUUUUGAUCGCGACUUCUAGUUACAAUCAAAUUUGAUCAUUACUAGGAAGGUUACAGUUAGUGAAGGAAAAAGAAAUUGAGAGGCGGGAAAAAGAAAGAAAAAUAAGAAAGGAGAAUGAGAGAAAGGAGAAGGACAAAAGGAGGAAAGAUGGACGGGGAGAGAGAGAGAGUCAUAGGUAUGGAGUGGCGGCGAUAAGGUGGUGAUCGUAGUGGUAGAGAGUGAUAGAUAGUGAUGUUUUUUUUUUGGUAUAUUUAGAGUUAUUUUUUAUAUAUUAUAUGGAUAUAAUGUUUUUAAAUUUAUUUUUGUUUAUAUAUAUUACUGUAGCAUUGUAUAAGAAAAUUUUUUUUUUCAAAAUUGAGAAAUCCAAAGAGCGCUAGGUAUUCUCAUCACAAUUUAGCAUUUAUUAGUAUAUUUACACACUAAAAAAUGAUAAUAAUCAAUUUCGAAGAUAACAUUAUACCUUGGCCCUAACACAGAUCCUGUAAGGAUUUCUUUCAUAUAUAAAGUGGUUGACAUAAGCAUGAUGUUACCAAUUAAGACGUGUAAGAUAUAACCUACUACAUUAACACUUAAAAGUGUAAUUUAGUCGAAUCAAACUCAAAUUAAAAAAUUUGAACUUGAGCGUGAACUUGAACUUAUCAAGCUUUUAAAAAUUCAACUCAAGCUCAAGUUUGAUUUUAUUUUACAUUACUCGAAUUCAAACUCGAGUUCGUGCUUAUUACACCCAAUUGAACUUGUUUCGCACUUAAUCAAGUUUAAGAAAUACAAAUUUAUAUUUUAUAUAAUUUUACACAAAGGACAAAAUAAACAUUUUAUACUCAUAAAUAAAAAAUUAAAAAUACAUAUAUAUGUGAAACUUGAUUAAGUUCAAUUAAAUUCAAUGAACUUUAGAACUUCAUAUAUUAAAUUCAAACUUGACUUUCAAGUAAUUUUAACUACUCAAUGCAAUUAAUGCGAGUUUGAACUCAAGUUUUGACCUAGUAAACUCACAAACUACUUGAUUAAGUUUGACUUUUUUGUACUCACAUUAACACUUGCAUAAAAAAGAAACCAUAUUUAGAAAGACAUGCACUUAUGGUUGUCAUGAAUGAUAAUUUAGCCAAAAGGGGAAAAUUACCAUUUUGCUUGCUUAUUUUCAAAGUAUCCAAUAUGCUUUUUGUAUAUAGUUAUGGAUAAAAGAUGGGAAUAAUUAUCUAUACAAAUGCUCUUGAAUAGUAUAAUGACUAGUGGUAAAAGGCACACCUAAUAUGUGUGUAAUUUAAAAAUAAAUUGUUUCUCAUAUAAACUUAUUUUACAUGGAAUUUUUUUUUUAAUGAACAUGACUUUGCUCAUUUAAGAUUUUUUUUUCGUAAGAGAGUAAUUUUGUUGUAUAUAUAUGAGUAGUUAUAUUGGAAAGAUAUGCUCUAGUAUUUACAAUGAAAAUAAGUUGUAGUCAAGAUAAAAUUUAAAUCCUAUGAAGCAAAAAUAAAAGUGAUAAAAAAAUGUUUACAUCAAAACUCAAAAUUCCUACUUUAUAUUUGUACAAAUAGUUAACAAUGAAUUAGAAUUUGUUAAUAAGGUAUUACAUUGUUUAAAGGACAGUUGCUCACUGCUACAAGCAGUCUUGCCCUUACUCGUAUGACCAUAUAUGAUUUAUUCUAUAAUCUAAAUAUAUGAUCAAUGUAAAACAUUUGAUAGUAGUAACUUGACAGGAAACUCAAGGUCACACAAAUUGCAUGUGUCCUCAAAACCAAACAAUUAUAAAAAAUAAAUCCAUUUUUCUCUUUUUCUUCUACUUUUUCAAAUUUUUUUGACCAAUUUCCCAAAUUGGCAAACAAACCUUAAUCAUGAAGAUUCUCCAAAAUGCGCACGAGAUCUUUAGACUGCCAUUUUUAAAUAUUAUCCAAUUUCUCUAAUUUUUGCAGUCCUCAAUUUUUUUCAAAGCUUUUCAUUAUAAUAAUCUUCCACUCUAUACAAAAAAAUCUUCCUAAUUGCUCAUAGGAAUGAAUUGUACAACAAGUGUUUAUGAUUUAUUUAUCCAACAAAGAAAUCGGAGAAGAUAUAUCGAGAAAAUGCAAAGAUUAAAAAAAAAUAAAUCAAGGUGUUUGAAAUAUAAACGAAAAGAUAUGUUAGAUGGUAGAAAAUGAGUGUAAGUAAAAAGUUUUGAAUUUGAAUCUUUCUAUUGAUACUAAAAAAAGAAAAAGGGUUGUUUGAAAUGCAAGUUUUAUGUAAAAAUUUUUUAUAUUUUUUAUAAACUCAUUUUCGAUCACAUUUUUAUCUCACAUAUAUCAAAUAAUUUUAUAAUAUUUUUAUAUAAAAACUCUAAAAAGUAACAAUUCAAAUGAACUCUAAAUUUUGAUUUUAUUUUAUUUUUUACUAUUUGUUUAGUUGCAUUAUCACAUGCAAUUCAUAUGUUUGUUCCCGUCAAAAUGAAAUAGUUGCCAUAACAGUAACAACAACGAUGAUAAUACUAAUUGAAUAAUUUAACACGACGAAUCAUAAAAUAUGAAUCGAGCGACAUAGGACCCACAGAAUACCACCAUAGCCGUAGUUGGCGCAAAGAUCCUGUUUCCCUCCAUGUUCGAUGAAUAACCGAUUUUUGAAUAGAAAUCCCAUGAAACGCUGACUCGCUCCAUCUAUCAAGUCAUCCCAAACGAUCAACUAACGACUACUGAUAAACCCCGUACCCCAAUACCGGUUACGCGUACGUAAUCAAAGCCCAGCACCGUCUGACGUGGCUCAUCAAUUCACAGCACCGAACGCAGUAAAAAAUCAGUGUGCAUCCCAAACUCUGUGUGGGAAAACGUGCAGGAGUACGCCACUAACAAAGGGACCACUAACAGCGUCACUUAACAGGGCGGGUGAUAUCAACCUAAUGUAAAAUACAUAAACGGCGUCGAUAACGCCCCUCUCGACGCUGGCGUUUUCUUUUUUUCUUUUCUGUUUUUUUUUUUUAAAUUUGUUUAUAAUCUUCAAAGCUUAGGUGGGGAAACUCUGUUUUAUUAGUUUAAUCACGUGUUUAGGCAGGUGAAGCCGCUUCACCCGCCGGUUCCACUGUUGGAGGAACUCAAUUUACCAUUAUAGCCUUCUAUGUGCAGUUAAUGACUUCUUUUAUGCAAAUUGAAGAGGGAAUUAGUUAGAGUAUCGACUUGUCAUUUAUGGGAUAAUUUAUUAAUAACAUAAUGGAAAUCUCAAGUUUUUAAUGAAUUAUACGUGUUUUACCGGCAAAAGAAGUAAGCAAUUCAGCUGGGCUCAGUCCAGUCUAUUUAUAAAAAGCUCUCUGGCUCAUGUGUUUGGAAUUUUUCGUCUCUAAAAAACAACACUCUCUCUAUAUGCUUCACCGUUUCCUUCCGCCGUCCGCUACCCUGUGUGAGAUCUCCGGCGACGACUAAGGUCUCUGGUUAGUCUGCUUCCAAGAGUUGAUUGUAUUUCUUCCACUUUCUUCAGUUAUGUGACUUUUACCGUAUGCUGAGGUGAAAAUGGCAUUUCAAAGUGGCAUUCUUCCAAGUAAAUUGCUUUUGCUGCUUUGGUUAAAACAUUUCACUCAUCUGAGCUAAUUCUCACUCUGAUCUGCUAUGGUCAAUUGAUUUUAAAAUUUUUUAUCAGAAUUACAUUAAUUACAUGUUCAAAUUUCUCCACAUUGAGAGAAAAAAAAAAGAUCACAUUUUUGGGUUAAUUCCAGAGUUUCACAAUUUAAAGGAUGCUGUUGUGUAAGAUAUGGAAGUGUCUGUAAAAACAUGGUCUGCAUGUUAAUUUCUGCUUCUCAGAAACUUUUUUUACCUUUUGUUUUACAUUUUUCUAUGGGGUUUGAAAUAUUUUAGCAGGAAGACAUUUUAAGCGUGGUGAAAGACCACCUAACUUCUGCAAACCUACGCGCAAGUUAUUUAUUUAGCAUUUUCUGCAAACAAAGUGAGUGAAAUAGAAUUUACUGACAACAAAGUGUUGACAAAUUAAGAAAUUACCGGGCUUUGCUCUUGCAGAAUGGAAGCAACGGUAGAGAACUCUACUGUGAUUGUCAAAGGCCCUCAAAUUGAGAAUUCUUGGAUUCCUUCCACCCCUGCGAAGCCUGGUUUGGAAGCUCAGCCAAUCUACACAGAGACGCAAGAACGACAACCAUUGCAAGCAAAUUGGUCCCAACAAUCCCUGCCAUGUGAGGGAAAUGCAUCAGAUGGAUGUAGAAAGGCAGGAAAAUCAAUCAAAUUUCAGCAAGAAAUCAAAGUCCAUAGUGUAGCCACAUGUUGUGGAGAAAACAAUUAUGUGGCUGUAGCCAGAAACUCCGAUGGUUUGGAUGCAACAUCGGCAGCAGAAUCACGGCUGCAUGAAGUCCCACUCAAAUUUUUUCAGGAGUUGUCCUUGGAGACAGACAAGUGGGGCAACGUUUCUUUUCAAGAAUUGAUGGCACUCGCAGAUGCUGCGGGCACUGCCAAAGCUGCUGAGGAAGCGAGUAAAAUUACUGAUUUGAAUGCUGAAAACAUGUCAUGUUGCAUUCAGUUUACCCAGCUGCCAGAAAUAUCCACGAGUUCUUCACUGGAAAACCAAGGCCUGGAUUCGAGUUCUCAGAAUAAUCCUAAGACACCCCAUUGUGAGUCUAGUUGCCUUAUUUAUUGCUACCUAUUACUUCUAUCAUAAAAAGUUACCCUGUCAAUCAUGGCAGAAAGUUGCCAAGGGAUUUCAAACCAAUAAGAGAAUGGUGGGUCAAGUAUGCUUUGAGGAGGUAACUUGCUACAGAAUUGACUAUUUGUUCACACAAAUACUAAAAAAGCUACGUUGUUAAUGUCUCCCAGCUCAUAGCUGUAUUAAGAAAAUAUAAAUCCCGUAAAUAUUUCCUACAAAUGAGUAAUAUAACUAAAUAGCCAGAGUGGUGAAACUAGACUUGGCGAAGAAAGCCACAUACCUUACAUAGCUUUGUGCUAGAGUUUAUCUUAUGCACGCUUAUCAUUGCAAAGCCCUUGUUGCAUCCCGCCAACCUCAGUUUCUAUAUGUACACGCACCAAACAUUGUUCUUUAUUCUGUCUGUUUACAUGCUUCGCAUCAAGAAAGCAGGAUUCUGCCUAUCAUGAUGGAACAUAAAUAAACUCCAAGAAUAAUCCUGGCAAUGCUUACCUCAAUCCUGUUAAUGAAUUUUCCUUUGCAGGUGAAAAUGUAAUUUCUUCCAGGCUCUGCUUUGAUCUGAAUUCUCCACCAAGAACAAUUGCUGAUGCAUCAACUACACUUGUCUCAUCCCAAUUUGAGCCUGUCACACCUGAUCCGACGAGGAGAACAGAUGGACGGAAAGUGUCCAACUCUGCAGCAGCAGCAAAAGAAACAAGAAUGCAGAAUGAAGUUAUGAUGACACCUGAAUUGCAUGAGCUCCAAAACAAUCAGUCAGUGCUGGUUGAGAAUCAAUCUUGGGCUACCAUCUCCACUGUAAUAGGGGAGAAUUUCAAGCCUGAAGUAGGCAGUGAACAGCAGACUGAUCUGACCAAGACACCACUGCAGAAGCCAAGGAGGAGAAAGCACAGACCUAAAGUGGUUGUUGAAGGUCAACCUAAUACGAAGCGCAAUCGCAAUCGGGGAACACCAAAGCCUACUGGCCAUCAGGAAAUUGCAAAACCCAAGAGGAAAUAUGUUAGGAAAAGUACAGUCGGCAAACCAGUGGAUAGUCCUUUGGAAGGCAAAACCAAUGGAACAGAUCUAGAAGCAACACCCAAGAGGAAAUAUGUUAGGAGAAGUGCAGUCGGCAAGCCUGUGGAUACUCCUUUGGAAGGCAAAACCGAUGGAACAGAUUUAGAAGCAAAGCCUUCUAGUUCGGAGAAUGUGCCAAAAAGUAAGAGGAAGUAUGUCAGAAGAAAAGGGGUUGAAGAAUCCACCACUCCCUUGGAAGUGGGGUGUACUACCAGAAAUGACACAAUGUCAGUUCGAGUAACACGAAGCUCCUGCAAGAAGUCACUAAAUUUCAACUCUGAAGGCCGAGGUCCAGAUGAAAGGUCCACACAGCCCCCUUUAGACGUUGAUGCUAAGUCACAUUCACAGGCUUCGAUUCCAGAGGAUCAAUCAAGAUCAACCAUGAAGCUGGACAGGAAAUGGAAGUGGCACAGCCCCCUUUAGAUGCUGAUGCAAAGUCACAUUCACAGGCUUCCAUUCCAGAGGAUCAAUCAAGAUCAACCAUGAAGCUUGGACAGGGAAUGGAAGUGACAGUUGAAAAGACUGAAAUAGGCAUUGCUUAUGACCUCACACAAACCAUAGAUCAUGCAUUCCAAGGCUACCUUUUUGUCAACGAAAGUCAACCCUCUGGAGAUACAACUUAUUGCACAAGCAAUCAAAAUGGAUGUACGAGAGGGAAAUGUCAAAUAGUUUUCUCAGAUGUAACUCAUGACAAAGAGGCAAGCAAUUUUGGGACAUUGUCAUCUGACGCUAGUGUGUGACAGGGAGUACUUCCAGCUGCAGCAGCAGUGCAUGCUUGACCCAAGAAACACAAUCAAGGAAAUCAAAGAGCCAGCGAUCUUUUAGAAGUGACGAGUCAGAAUCUCGCAGGAUAAAUGCUACCGGGGCCCAUUACAAUUCAUUGCAGGCAUGCCAAGAGCUCUUUCCACCAUAUGGCUACAACUGUCAAGGAACUCCAAGCAUGCAGUUUCCAACAAUUUUCAAGAAAAAGAGGACAGAAAAUUCGCAUAAAUCAGCAACUUCAAGCAUUCUGCAAAAUCCAGUACCUAUGACAAUGAUGGUCGGGAUAGUCUAUGCCCUUCCAAUGAUUCUCAGAUAUACAAUUUCACAUCAGGAACUGAUUUCAUGAUGUCUGCUGCUCAUUCUGAUGCUAAUAGUAUCCCAACGGCAGCAGCAGCAGCUGAUGGUACCCAACAUGAACAGAACCCUUUCGUUUGCCUUCCAAUCUUGAGAAGUGCAGAAAGAUUGACGAAGAAAAGAUCUAAAGGCCCCAUUCGGGUUCGAGAUUUUGCUUCUCUGCAUGAAAUUUGGGGGCAGUUUCCUACUUCCAGCAGAGGAAUGCUGAGUUCUGGAGUUUUAAAAGGACCACACACAUGCAUGGAUGCUCUGGUUGCUGACAAUCGGCCAAGAAUGACAACAAAGAAGCGGUCAAAGAGAAACUCUGUUGCUUCAAAUUCUUCCUUUUCAAAUACCUAUGAUCAUCAGAAAUUUGCAAAAAAGUCAAUGGGUAUGUAUAUAUUACUCUUUUAUAUCUAAUUACCAGUAACAAUGAAAUUAUCAGAAAAUUUUCUUACUUGGUGCAUAUGAUGCAGGGUCUUCAACUAAAUUGUGGAAAAAUAAAUCUUCAACAAUUGAUGCCAUCAUUGAGCAGUUUAACUACCUUGAUAUACAAAAGGAACACAACAGAUUGUUCAACCAAGAACAGAACGCACUAGUCACAUACCAAGUGGACUGUCCAUUGCAGAAUUCUAUUGUUCUUUAUCAAAGUAAUGGAUCUGUUGUACCUUAUGAUGGUUCGUCUUCUCAAAUUAGGAAGCGCCGGCCACGGCCUAAAGUUGACCUUGAUGAGGAGACAAAUAGAGUGUGGAAGCUUUUGCUGGAAGACAUAAACAAUGACGGCAUUGAUGGAACAGAUCAGCAGAAGGCACAAUGGUGGGCAGGUGAACGGGCAGUAUUCCGUGGAAGAGCAACUCAUUUAUUGCCAGGAUGCAUCUAGUCCAGGGUAUGUAGGCUCAUAAUUUAAUUUUGCAGUAGUAUACAUCUCUUAAUGUGCAUAGACGUUAUUAAGAAGUUGAUCUACAUGGGACUAAGAAAAUCUCAGUGCUGUCUUAAAAGAAGAUAGUAUCUAACUCAGGACUUGUUGGUACAUCCUCCUUAAAUAUGGAACUCGAACCUUGUAGCACGUGCUCUGGAGCAAGAAGCCAAAAGAUUCUGGCAUUGCGUGUCAUAUAGCUCAAAUUUACAUGACAGAACACAGCAAAGAAGUCUAUUACAAUUUACAUUAUACCUGUAUAUAGAAGAACAAAAAUCAGUGCUCGCCAACCAAAAAGAGAAAUCAAUUAGUAAAUUGCUUUCUUGGUAUGAAACAUUUUCAUUCUAUUUCUGCUUUUCAAGAAUAUCAUUUUGGCAAAAGAAAUUAAGAAAUCUUUUAACCGUAAAUGAUGGACACAAGAAAGUCAAGCAUUUCAGAAAAUACCAAAUCGACUGCCUAAAAAUUUCUAAUAGUUUAAUGGAAUGGCAUGACUGUAAAUAUGUUGGAGAAAUAACUGACUGAAGGAAACUCUGGGCAGAUGGAACAGUGUAUGUGAACCUUCCAUGAAAGGUUGAAGUGCAAUGCAUCUCACAUAGCAAAAGUUGGUGUCGGAUACUCCAAAAAAGUAUCCUCUUCCUACACGGUUACAUGAUUCAGGCAGAAAAAUGUGUUUGCCAUCUCAAAUAUGUAAUAGGAGUGUGUUAUUUUUUUCUUCCACAGGAGACAGACGCUUCACCCCAUGGAAGGGAUCGGUAGUAGACUCUGUAGUUGGAGUCUUCCUUACACAGAAUGUGUCUGAUCACCUUUCUAGGUGAGUUGAUUUCUAAAUUUCCACCCUCCUCACAAAAGAUCAUAGUAGCUUGAGUGCCUGCAAAAACAACUUUAGUUUGUGUUCAUUGCUGCAGUUCUGCCUUCAUCUCAAUGGCUGCUAGAUUCCCCCUCAAAUCGAAGAGCAAUCACUAUCAUACACGACCAUGUGAACAACAGACAACUGAGGGACAAGUAAUAAUAGAUCCAGAUGAUACAAUUAAAUGGCACAAAAAGGUUUCAAGUCAACUUGCUUGCCUCCAGGAUUCCGUCACUCUAUGUGACAAGGAGUGCAAUGAAGAAGUAACCAGUACCAGGGAUUCCUCUGGAGAUACAUCUGAAGGCACCAAAGCAACAAAAAUUUUAAGAUCCUCUCUUCAGAUUCUUCAGAAUGUAGUCCAAAACUGUAUAAUGAACCAGACAUUAGCAGCUUAAAAUCUCAGGAUGAUCAAAGACUGGCAAGCUUUAAUGGAGAUAGCAGAGAACUUGAUGUAAUUUCUUCUCAGAAUUCUGUAAUUUCCUCUCACAGCUCUGUGGAGACUAUAAACAAGGCUGAGUCAUACUCACAAAGUUCCUCCGAAGCUGAACCAGCUGAUGGUACUUGUGGCUCUUUUGUAAAACUGUUACAGAUGGCAGGAACAACAAUGUUGCAUGGAGUUUAUAAUGAAGGAAGCAGAAAGAGGUCAUCAAGUCUCGGCAUGCCAACCAAAUCAGAAGGUAUGGCCUGUAACUCUUGCAGUAAGAAAUCAAUUAUCAUAAAUUGUUUAAAAGAUAUCCAUCUGCAUACUAAUUUGAGCCUGCACAUAGGCGUGAAUUCAGGAUUUGGAGAGCUCAGGAACUUUGAUCAGUCAGAAGAUAACAGAUUCGUGAUGCCUACAAAGAAAAUGAGCUUUUUGUAACCGAACAAAUUGGAUCAGCAGAAUCUUCAGCAGGAGUUCCAUGUCAGAAUACAAUUGCUAUUAGUUUCGAAGAAUUACAGAAGUUUUCAAUUGAAAAUUCUGACUCCAACUCUCCUAACAACCAUCAAAGGCCAAUUGAAGAUCAAGAGACUGAACUUGUGUCAGAAGUUCAAAAGCAAGAGAAUAACUGCAGAGUUGGGCAAGUUUCAAAUCCUCUAAGUUCUUCAGAAUGUAUUUUGGAUGUCUCAGGAAAAACCCAAAUAACUAGAAAUCAGAAGGCUGUUCAUUUGAAUCUGAAUGACUGCAAUACAAUUGUGGAGAAAAUUGAUGAGGUGAGCCCUAGUAUAUCCAAUGCCAAAAGGGGAAGAAAUGGAAAAGAGAAAAAGGAUGCCAUUGAUUGGGAUAGUUUAAGAAUACAGGCACUCUCUAAUGGUGAAAAGAGAGAGAGGACAGCCAAUACAAUGGACUCAGUGGACUGGGAAGCGGUGAGAUGUGCAGAAGUUGAGGACAUCGCUGAGACCAUCAAAGAAAGGGGAAUGAACAAUAUGUUAGCUAAGAGAAUCCAAGUAUAUGUUCUAAUUCUAGCAUAAUUAUGGAUUUUAGUCUCUCAGCCACUAAUCAUCACUGUCAGCUAAUGAUAUCGAAUCAUGCAGGACUUCCUAAACAGGCUUGUCACAGAUCAUGGAAGCAUUGAUCUGGAAUGGCUGCGGGAUGUCCCACCAGAUAGGGUCAAGUAAGUGUAUCAAAUGGCUUCUGAUGCCAGUGCAUAAAAAGUUUUGCAAUGACAGUAAGCCUAACAACCUUGUAUCAUAUUUAUUGUGCAGAGACUACCUAUUAAGUGUAAAGGGUUUGGGUCUAAAAAGUGUAGAAUGUGUGAGGCUUUUGACACUUCACCAUCUUGCUUUCCCAGUAAGAUUAAUACUUGAACCAAAAUAUUUAGAAUGGUCAGAAAGGAUUUACUUAGAAGAACUCAUGUUGGAUUUACUUCGAUUAGGUGGAUACAAAUGUUGGACGUAUUGCUGUAAGACUGGGCUGGGUACCACUUCAGCCACUUCCUGAGUCACUUCAGUUGCACCUUCUAGAACUGUGAGUUUUGGAGUCUCAAUAAACUAUUCUUGUUUCAUCUCAGAUAUUAGUGUUACUGUUGCUGUUGUACAGGUACCCUGUGCUGGAGUCAAUCCAAAAGUUUUUAUGGCCAAGGCUCUGCAAGCUUGAUCAACGAACCUUGUAAACUUUGUUUCUUCCAUAGUUAUAUCAAAUAGCAAUGAGUCCCUAUGAUUUGCUGACUUAAGAUGCUUACAAAUUGUAGGUAUGAGCUGCAUUAUCAAAUGAUAACAUUUGGAAAGGUAUGCCAUUCAAUUAGGACGUUCUUUCCCCUAACUCAUUUUUAAAUUAAAGCUGAAGACUUCUCCUUAUUUCCCAGGUUUUUUGCACAAAAAGCAAACCAAAUUGCAAUUCGUGCCCCAUGCGAGGAGAAUGCAGGCAUUUUGCAAGUGCCUUUGCAAGGUAUAUCCAAUUUAACCAACUAGGUUGUAGUUAAGGCAUCAAAAAUUAAUAAAAUGCCUUUCCACUUUUCAACCUCUUGGCAAAGGCCUUUAUUCUGCCUUCAUUCAUGUACAUGGAAACUUCUAUUCAAGUUACUGGUAGUAAAAACUAAAGAGGAAUCACUUACAAGCUAUCUAUAGCAAAAUCAGAAGGGUCUUUUUUUUUUUCAAAUCUGAAGCAGGUGAGUUGAGAAAGUAGCUUAUUGGAAGAUUUUACUCGUAAGGUACCUUUGGUUAACAAGUAUCUACCUAGAGGUUGUCUUUAAUUCUUAAGUUAUUUGGCCUUUGUGUCUCAGAGAUAGCUUCUGGCUUUAGUCUUAUUAGGUUUAAGUUUUUCUUUAACUUACCCAUCUUAACUACAAAUAAGCUCAAAGGCGAUAAUGAAAAACAGCAGACAUUGAUUUAGACAACCAGAGAUUCCCACAUAAAAAUGGUAGUUUCAUUAUACGUAUAAAAUAUGUUACAUGCAGUGCUAGGCUUGCCCUCCCAGCACCAGAGGAUAAAAGCAUCAUUACUGCAGCACAAUACAGAGAACCCAAUACAAAUCCAGAAGAAAACAUAAAUCACCUGCAACUGCCUCUACCUCAAACUAGUCAACAAUUGGAAUCUGGUUCUCAAGUUGGAACCUGCGGUCCUAUCAUUGAAGAGCCUGCAACACCAGAGCCUAUCAUCGAACAGCCAGCAAGCCCACAGCUAGAACAUACACAAAUACCAGAGCUUGACAUUGAGGACGCAUUCCAUGAAGAUGAAGAUGCUGAUGAGAUUCCUACCAUUAAACUCAAUAUUGAGGAGUUGAAUCAGAAUCUGUUGAACUACAUUCAAAAGAAUGUUGUUUUAACUUCAGAGAGUGAAAUGUCAAAGGCAUUAGUGGUUUUAACUCCAGAAGCUGCUUCAAUCCCCACGACUAAACUUAAGAACAUAAGCCGAUUAAGGACAGAGCAUUACGUGUAAGUUCAUUCAAGCUUAGCUACAAACAUAUGCCUGCAAUUCAUUAACUAAAGAGUAAAGACAUGUAUAGACUUGCAAAGCAUGUACAAAGCACAACUUCUUGUCUUAAAAGAUGACAGUAUAAUGAAUAGCUGCUACAUGCCUAACUAUCUACCAAUUUAACAGCUACGAGCUUCCUGAUGCGCAUCCACUGCUGAAAGGGGUUAGUGUUACAUCUGCUUCUCAUUUGACAUAUAGUUCCUGCCUACCAUGUGCAACUGAACUUUCUAACCAUCUUACUGUAUCAAAAUCCAGUUUGACCAACGAGAACCAGAUGAUCCAUCGUCAUACCUUCUCGCCAUAUGGACACCAGGUAAGCUAACAUGAUGAAAUUGAAACAACAGAAACCCUUAGCAGAGGGCUUGAAACAUACUGAUCAAUGACUUUUUGAUGUAUAUUAUGGAAUGAAUAUAUGAAUCUUAUACCCGUGUGUGUGUCUACUCAUCAAUAGUUUUUUAAGUGUAAAUGGGAAAACCUCUCAAUAUCAGGUGAAACUAUAGACUCUAUUCAGCCACCAGAAAGAUCAUGCAGCUUCCAAGAAUCUGGCAAACUAUGUGAUCGGGAAACAUGCUUUUCGUGCAACAGCAUACGUGAAGCAAACUCCCAAACUGUUCGAGGCACACUACUGGUGAGGACGCAUCCUUUUUGUGCCUCUUACUUCAUAACAGUGUAAUUCCUAAUUUAUGAUGACCCCUGUGCACAGAUACCAUGUCGAACAGCUAUGAGAGGAAGCUUUCCGCUUAAUGGCACAUACUUCCAAGUUAAUGAGGUACACAAGUCCAGCAACAGUGAAAUCUUAUAGAUUCUAUGAACAAAAGCCUCAAAAGGAACUCACUAACUGCAGGUGUUUGCGGACCACGAAUCUAGCCUUAACCCAAUUGAUGUGCCAAGAAAUUGGUUGUGGAAUUUGCGUAGACGAACAGUUUACUUUGGAACAUCCAUACCUACCAUAUUUAAAGGUAAGUAAUAGUAGAGUUCAUUCAUCGUUUUAGUUAAUAACUAGUUCCUACUUCAUCCAAGGUAGUUCCUGGAGUACAUGACAUUUUUUGUUUUCUUGUUUAUUAGGACUGUCACAGGAGGAAAUUCAAUACUGCUUCUGGAGAGGUAACAAAAAAAAAAAAGAAAUCAAACACUUUUUGCAGUUAAUUCAGCAGCUUCAUUUGAAUUUUGGUAACUAAUUUUGUAGCAUUAUGUAGCAUGCACAAGGAAAUUACUUGCAAAAUUUAGUACAACUUUGUUUCUUCCGAAAUUAGAUGCUUGCUACUAGCUAUCAUAUCCUGAAAUGAGCAGUUCAAGCGAGGUUCAACAACAUAAUAGCAUCUUAUUUAAACACUUUGCUUCAUUUCUUAAAAGGUAACUUUAUCCUCUUAAACACAGUUCUCAUAUGUAUUGACUCCUAUUGACAGACAGAUUUUGGACUUCAAAUUCUACUAGUUCUUAUUUAUACAUCAUUAAGGUACUUAUUUAACAAGGAAAGUUUAAUUCUUAGACCUGCUCAACAAAAAUGUAGUUUAGACUCGUAGGAAAGAAGUGCUUGGCGUGCAAAACCAACCUUGCUGCUAGAAGGCGGACAAGAGAAAACUAUCUAUGGUUGGGCCAGAAAGUACCAGACAUGAUAAAUGUCAUAUUUUGUAAAGAAAAUUCUGGUCUUGCUAGCUGUGAUUCUCAUUCAUUGACCAAUGUGUAUUAACAGGAUCAAUAUGAUGCCUCAAUCAAGGAAACAAUCCACAAAGUAUGGAACCAUACGACAAUGAAUGUGUUAGAAGACCAAAAUACAUAAUUUCACAACCUAUUUCCUUUAGAAAUACUCCAUCUUAGAAAGUAUAAUGCGUUUCUAGCAUGCUAUCCCUAUUGGCAACGGUUAUAUCGCUUCCUUUUCCAGUUGCUUAAUGUAACCUCUGUGUUUGCUAGGGUUCGUGUGCUUGAGGGGAUUUGACAGAAGACACGAGCGCCUCGACCACUUGUUGCUAGACUACACUUCCCAGCCAGCAAGUUGACUAAGAAAAGAGGAAGGACAGAUGAAAGUUAAGCAUUGAUCCCUCACCAUUGCUGCAUUCUAUAAUAUUUGGUGACAUGGCACCAAACUAGAGGACUUGGAUUUUGAAAGAAGUAAACAAUAGUCAGCAAGUUUUGUAUAAAGGCAAUCACAAGGGAUUCGGCAUGUUUUAGCAUAAUGUGAUCGUUAAACUUUUGUUGUAUAGAGUCAAUUAACUUAAUGGAAAAGAGGCCGGUCAGCGAAAUUAGGUCAUGUUUCUUUA